rnacentral:rRNA from 1 species
CUCGGAUACGAGCGUAGGGAUACACCUGGUAAAGGGCACGCCUCGUGGGGGUGCGAAUUCGCCCUUGGGAUAUCCGUGAUUAAUACUGGUUUUACCUUGUAAUCUGUAUC